GGGGGGGGGGGGGUGCCUGGGGGGGUCUGCGGGGGCACGGGUGACACCGUGGGGACUCCGGGCCGGUCCCGGGGUGUGGGAUGGUUUUGGUGGGUCUGGGGGUGCCCGUGGGGUCCUGAGCCGUGUCUCCCCGCCAGGGUCGCUGUCGCUGUCGCUGGACGCGGCCGCGCUGGAGGUGAUGGAGGCGCUGGAGCUGCUGCAGCAGCGGCCGGGAGCAGCUGGAGCAGCACCUGCGGCAGGGGUGGCUGUCCCUGGCUCAGACCCGCUACUCCCUGGGCUGUCACCGCGUCUCGUCCCUGCAGUACGGGGCCACCAUGGUGCCCCGAGUCCGUGUGUGCCACAGGUGGGGACAUCGGGGACAGGGACACUGGCGGGGGCAGUGGGACAUUGGGGACACUCAGUGGGGGGUGACAGGGACACAGGGAGGGACAUCGAGGACACUCGAGGUGACAAGGACACAGGGAGGGACAUUGGGGACAUUGAGGACACUCAGUGGGGGGUGACAGGGACACUGGGGACACAUUGGGGGAGGUGACAGGGACACAGGGAGGGACACUGGGGACACUCGAGGUGACAGGGACACAGGGAUGGGGGGGGGGGGGGGGGGGGGGGGGGGGGGGGGGGGGGGGGGGGGGGGGGGGGGGGGGGGGGGGGGG
rnacentral:lncRNA from 12 species